GAAUAUUAGUCAAUGCUCGAAAGAGUGAACUAGCUAACUGAAAUCAAUAAUAAUUGAUAACAUAAGGGAAAAUAAUGAUAUUACCUUAUUAUUAGUGUCGUCCAAAUCUGGUGCCAGAAGACUCGGUAAGGCCAGAGACACAAACGUUAAUCGUCUUAAUCAGGCGUAAAGGGUUUGUAGGCGGCUUUAAAAUUUAAUUUUAAAUAAAAUAAAAAAUUCAUUUUUUUGGUUUUAAUUUAAUUUUAUAAUUAAAGAUUUAAAGCUAGAAUCAAAAAGAGGAUAUAUUAAAGAAUGCUUAGAGUAGGUCUGAUAUCCUUAGAUACUAAGUAGAAUAUUAAAGGCGAAAGCUUUUUUCCAUUAAUGAUUGACGCUCAGAAACGAAGGUGAGGAUAGGAAAUAGGAUUAGAUACCCCAAAUACCCCUCUCUGUCAACGAUGAAUGGUAAUUAUUAGUAAAAAUAUUUAUUAAUGAUAAUGUUAACACGAUAACCAUUCCGCCUUGUGAGUACAACUGCAAAGUUGAAAACAAAAAAAUUAGUCGGUUUCGGAGCAAACGAAGUGAAGCAUGUUAUUUAAU
rnacentral:rRNA from 1 species